rnacentral:rRNA from 1 species
CAGCCGCCGCGGUAAUACGUAGGGGGCAAGCGUUGUUCGGAAUUACUGGGCGUAAAGGGCGUACAGGCGGCCAUAUAAGUCAAUUGUGAAAUUCUUGGGCUUAACCUGAGAACUGCACUUGAUACUGUGUGGCUUGAGAUCAGGAGAGGAGAGUGGAAUAUGUAGUGUAGCGGUGAAAUGCGUACAUAUUACAUAGAACACCGGUGGCGAAGGCGGCUCUCUGGCCUGAUUCUGACGCUGACGCGCGAAAGCUAGGGUAGCGAACGGGAUUAGAUACCCCGGUAGUCCUAGACGUAAACGAUGGGUACUAAGUGUAGCGCAACGGUCCAUAUGACCCCUCCUGUGCUGUAGCUAACGCAUUAAGUACCCCGCCUGGGGACUACGGGCGCAAGACUAAAACUCAAUGGAAUUGACAGGGGCCCGCACAAGCGGUGAAGCAUGUCGCUUAAUUCGAAGCAACGCGAAGAACCUUAUCCAGUGGCUUGACAUCCUUUGACACCCGUGGAAACACGGCUUUCCCUUAGGGGACAAAGUGACAGGUGCUGCAUGGCAGUCGUCAGCUCGUGUCGUGAGAUGUUGGGUUAAGUCCCGCAACGAGCGCAACCCCUGUCUUUAGUUGCCAGCGCGUAAUGGCGGGGACUCUAGAGAUACUGCCGGCGAUAAGCCGGAGGAAGGUGGGGAUGAUGUCAUGUCCUCAUGGCCCUUAUGCCCUGGGCUGCACACGUGCUACAAUGGCCGGUACAACGGGUCGUGAAACCGUGAGGUGGAACCAAUCCCUAAAAACCGGUCCCAGUUGGGAUUGUAGUCUGCAACUCGACUACAUGAACCUGGAAUCGCUAGUAAUCGCGAAUCAGCAGGUCGCGGUGAAUACGUUCCCGGGCCUUGUACACACCGCCCGUCACACCACGAAAGUCGGUGGCAUUCGAAGCCGAUGAGCUAACCUUCGGGGAGCAGUCGUCGAAAAUGAAACCGAUGAUUGGCGUGAAGUCGUAACAAGGUAGCCGUA